GAUGUUGUGGUCUAGUGGAUAAGUCUCCUGAUUGAAAACCAUAAGGUACGGGGUUCGAAUCCCUGCCGCAGCA
rnacentral:tRNA from 1 species